GACCGUAUUGGUCGUCACGGAUAUUAGGUAGUACGGGGCACAUGAGUGCUGGGUGUUGCGAGAGGCAGAGGCUGCAAUGGGCGAGGCUUGAGAGGAUUCGGCAGUGAGCGCGACGGCGAGGCAAAGCUGCACAGCAGUACAAGAGGGCUUAGGUGAGAGCUUAUUGCUGUUGUUGCUGCGACAGAGCUGGACUGUGCGGGGUACUAGAGUACGAGGUUGCGGUCAAGGAGGUGGAACAUCGCGAGAAGAGCGAGCUGUGGUAGUGCGGGUCGCGAGGUGCUAGAUUGCAAGCAUUGUAUUGGGGCACAAAAGUGACACAGUGCGGCGACAGGCGGCAUUGGAGGAUCGGUGCAAUAGGAUCAAGGUACAAUCUGCAGGUUGGGCUAUUUGGAAAUAUAGUCCUAAGUUGGCAGGUUACAGUACUAGAGAAUUGAGAUUGCGGAUUUACUAUGCGAAUUAGGGUUACAACGUAGGUAGUAGGUAGACCAAGGUGCUGGCUUACAAAACGAAACUACGGUGGAGGAGGGUUGCAAUACUGGAGUAGAGUGUUGGGCAUUGGAUCAAAGCGCGGUACAGCACUAAAGGCAGAGCAAGGUGUUGUAGUCUAGGAUCAUUGAGCAGCUUGAAAUCCAUGUGCUGUGCAAGACAGUGUCAAUCGGCAGCUAGUAGCGACCAAUGGCGGUAGCUGCGUUCUCCUACAAAUCAAAACAUCAAGCCACGGCCUUAGAGAGGAGGUCAAUCGGAGCAUUGAAGUAGCAUUACUAAAUGUCAAUUGCUUUUCAAGUGAGUUUUGAUUUUUUCUAAUUUCUCCACAUUUCAUUUUAUUGCAAUUAUCAUUUAUUAUCACAAAUUUUGCAAUCUGUAACCAUCAACUACAGGUGGUUGCUAGUUACUUUGAUUUACUUUUGAUUUUUUAUUAUGUAUUGUUGGAAAUAAAGAUCUAGUAUGGAUUUUGGAAUUUGUUUUUGGUACUUUUUCUUAGUUGCAAGUAUUGUUUUCAAAGGUUUUUUAUAAUAAUUUCAUUUUGUAUUUGUAUUAAUUUGUGUUGAUAGGCAUAUUCUAAGAAUAAGGUCAGGUUAAUAGCCAACAAGAUUUUUAUGAUUGUAGGUAUGUUAGAUUUGUAGUGAUAUAGAAGUGAUUAUUAUUGAAUUGCAAAGUUUGGUAGUUUCAGAAGUGCAAGUUGUUUUUUAAGUCUUUAGAUAGUUGCAAGUAUCAAAGAAGUUCUUUUAUAGUAUACACAAAGAGUUGAUAUUAUUGAUUUUUUUUUCACCAAACUACUUAAAUUAUGAUCAC